UACGAAGGGUGCAAGCGUUGCUCGGAAUUAUUGGGCGUAAAGGGUUGGUAGGUGGUCUUGUUUGUCUAAGGUGAAAUCCCAUGGCUUAACUGUGGAAGUGCCUUAGAAACGGCAAGACUAGAGUCCUAGAGGGGUUUGUGGAAUUCCCGGUGUAGCGGUGAAAUGCGUAGAGAUCGGGAGGAACACCAGCGGCGAAGGCGGCAAACUGGAUAGGUACUGACACUCAACAACGAAAGCGUGGGGAUCAAACAGG
rnacentral:rRNA from 1 species